rnacentral:rRNA from 1 species
UACAGAGGGUGCAAGCGUUGCUCGGAUUUACUGGGCGUAAAGCGUACGCAGACGGCAUGAAAAGUCGGACGUGAAAGCCCCGGGCUCAACCCGGGAAAUGCGUCCGAAACCAUCUCGCUUGAGUAUGAGAGAGGAAAGCGGAAUUCCUGGUGUAGAGGUGAAAUUCGUAGAUAUCAGGAGGAACACCGGCGGCGAAGGCGGCUCACUGGACCGGAACUGACGCUGAGACGCGAAAGCGUGGGGAGCGAACAGG